GAUGAACGCUAGCGGGAGGCCUAACACAUGCAAGCCGAGCGGUAUUGUUUCUUCGGAAAUGAGAGAGCGGCGUACGGGUGCGUAACACGUGUGCAACCUGCCUUUAUCUGGGGGAUAGCCUUUCGAAAGGAAGAUUAAUACUCCAUAAUAUAUUGAACGGCAUCGUUUAAUAUUGAAAGCUCCGGCGGAUAGAGAUGGGCACGCGCAAGAUUAGCUAGUUGGUGAGGUAACGGCUCACCAAGGCGAUGAUCUUUAGGGGGCCUGAGAGGGUGAUCCCCCACACUGGUACUGAGACACGGACCAGACUCCUACGGGAGGCAGCAGUGGGGAAUAUUGGUCAAUGGGUGCAAGCCUGAACCAGCCAUCCCGCGUGAAGGACGACUGCCCUAUGGGUUGUAAACUUCUUUUGUAUAGGGAUAAACCUACCCUCGAGAGGGUAGCUGAAGGUACUAUACGAAUAAGCACCGGCUAACUCCGUG
rnacentral:rRNA from 1 species